CCCACCGUACCCCUGGCUCUCGGUCGACCUCCUCUCCCCCACGAUCUCGUCGCCGCCGCCACCACCCACGCCGGCCGGUUCCGGCAAUCUCCAGCUGCAUGCAACAUGCCCCUAAGUUCCGCCCCGCCCUCCCCUUCGUCCAGAUCCAUGCCUCAAGGUCUGCACCCUUGCCCGCGGCUAGGGAUUCGGGCGCCCCCCUGUUCUUGCCGCCGAGUGCCCGGGUCGGCCCGCUGGCCAAUGAGCAGCACCCCGCACCUGCGCGUGCCCAGGCAGACGAGCAGUACGGGGAUUGGCCGCGGAUGGAGACGAGUGCUGGCGCGGCAGCAGGAGAAGCUGUGGCGGCGGCGGAUCUGGUGACUGCCGGGUCGGCUCGUCGUUCGUGGCCGGCCGGAGUCGCGGUGAGGCGCUGCCUUCCAUAGAUUCCGGUGGCUGGCUGACGGCCAAUUGCUCUUGGACGCCGCUGGAGCUGCUCGUUUUUGAAUUUUCAGUAAUGCGGCUAGCUAUGCCAGCAGUCCGCGCGAUUGUGAUUCUCGUGUCGCUGAUAGCUUGGAGCAGUUGGUUCUGGUCCAUCUACUACUCGUGACUGGGAAGGAAGGAUCAUGUCGUUGAUAGUUCAGCUAAAAAGAAAAGCCACACGCGAAGAAAAUAAUGCGUCUGAGUCGAGUGACUGUAUGAUUGUCACCACUGGAUUUACUGGCAAUCCGCUACUCACCCCAGUGUCCGGAAAAGUUGUUAAGAAUUAUAAAUCAAAGACUAAGAACAAUAAAGCUAGGCCUCAGACACCUACGCCAAAUGUUGAUAAGUGAAAACUUCUUGAGUGCCAUUUUCUCUGAAGUCCAAACUCUUUUUUGCCUAUUUAUUCAGGCUGCAAAUGAUUAAACAUGCACAUCCUUUCAUGUACAGGCUCACCACUCAAUCCAACAACUCCUGGUACUUGCCGCUAUGACAGUUCGUUAGGAUUUGUGAGUUCAUAGAAGGGAACACAUAGACAUGAAGCUACGGCGGCGACGAAGACGAUAUCAACAUGGGGCUGCGGCGACGAUGAUGACGAUGACAUCGACAUCGACACAGGGCUACGGCGGCGACAAAGACGAUGACAUAGUCAUGGUGCUGCGGCGACGACGACGACGACAUCAACACGGCCUUGUGGAGGCACUGACGCCGACGACGUAGACGCGUGGCAUAUAUUGUGUGUGUGCGCGCGCGCGUGCAUGCGUGUGCACGUGUGCGUGUGUUAAUUAUCUACAUCAAAUAUGUAUGAUUGAUGAUUGACUGUAUGCAUAACAUGUACGUAUUGUGAAAUGCAUGUCUAAAUUGAAAUAGGUAGACUUUUAUUUUUUUUAAAUCCUAAUUUGUUACUACUAGCGUGGG